rnacentral:rRNA from 1 species
AUUGAACGCUGGCGGCAGGCCUAACACAUGCAAGUCGAACGGUAACAGGAAGAAGCUUGCUUCUUUGCUGACGAGUGGCGGACGGGUGAGUAAUGUCUGGGAAACUGCCUGAUGGAGGGGGAUAACUACUGGAAACGGUAGCUAAUACCGCAUAACGUCGCAAGACCAAAGAGGGGGACCUUCUGGCCUCUUGCCAUCGGAUAUGCCCAGAUGGGAUUAGCUAGUAGGUGGGGUAACGGCUCACCUAGGCGACGAUCCCUAGCUGGUCUGAGAGGAUGACCAGCCACACUGGAACUGAGACACGGUCCAGACUCCUACGGGAGGCAGCAGUGGGGAAUAUUGCACAAUGGGCGCAAGCCUGAUGCAGCCAUGCCGCGUGUAUGAAGAAGGCCUUCGGGUUGUAAAGUACUUUCAGCGGGGAGGAAGGGAGUAAAGUUAAUACCUUUGCUCAUUGACGUUACCCGAAGAAGAAGCACCGGCUAACUCCGUG